CCAAUAGCGUAUAUUAAAGUUGUUGCAGUUAAAAAGCUCGUAGUUGAAUUUCGGAGUUUGUCGGUUGGUCGGGCUUCACUGUCCGCACUGACCUGAUGGAUUCCUACCUUCUGAAUAACCAGCAUGCUAUUAAGUUAGUGCGUUGGGGAAGCAGAGCUAUUACCUUGAAAAAAUUAGAGUGCUUAAAGCAGGCUUAUGCUUGAAUAGAUUAGCAUGGAAUAAUAAAAUAGGACGGCAUGGUUCUAUUUUGUUGGUUUCUAGGAUCACCGUAAUGAUUAAUAGGGAUAGUUGGGGGCAUUAGUAUUCAAUUGUCAGAGGUGAAAUUCUUGGAUUUAUUGAAGACUAACUUCUGCGAAAGCAUUUGCCAAGGAUGUUUUCAUUAAUCAAGAACGAAAGUUAGGGGAUCGAAGACGAUCAGAUACCGUCGUAGUCUUAACCAUAAACUAUGCCGACUAGGGAUCGGACGAUGUUAAUUUUUUAAUGACUCGUUCGGCGCCUUACG
rnacentral:ncRNA from 2 species